rnacentral:rRNA from 1 species
GAUGAACGCUGGCGGCGUGCCUAAUACAUGCAAGUCGAGCGAACGGACGAGAAGCUUGCUUCUCUGAUGUUAGCGGCGGACGGGUGAGUAACACGUGGAUAACCUACCUCUAAGACUGGGAUAACUUCGGGAAACCGUAGCUAAUACCGGAUAAUAUUUUGAACCGCAUGGUUCAAAAGUGAAAGACGGUCUUGCUGUCACUUAUAGAUGGAUCCGCGCUGCAUUAGCUAGUUGGUAAGGUAACGGCUUACCAAGGCAACGAUGCAUAGCCGACCUGAGAGGGUGAUCGGCCACACUGGAACUGAGACACGGUCCAGACUCCUACGGGAGGCAGCAGUAGGGAAUCUUCCGCAAUGGGCGAAAGCCUGACGGAGCAACGCCGCGUGAGUGAUGAAGGUCUUCGGAUCGUAAAACUCUGUUAUUAGGGAAGAACAUAUGUGUAAGUAACUGUGCACAUCUUGACGGUACCUAAUCAGAAAGCCACGGCUAACUACGUG